CGGGGGGCAGCAGUAAGGAAUAUUGGUCAAUGGACGAAAGUCUGAACCAGCCAUGCCGCGUGAAGGAUUAAGGUCCUCUGGAUUGUAAACUUCUUUUAUUUGGGACGAAAAAAGGGCAUUCUUGCUCACUUGACGGUACCAUUUGAAUAAGCACCGGCUAACUCCGUGCCAGCAGCCGCGGUAAUACGGAGGGUGCAAGCGUUAUCCGGAUUCACUGGGUUUAAAGGGUGCGUAGGCGGGUAGGUAAGUCAGUGGUGAAAUCUCGAAGCUUAACUUCGAAACUGCCAUUGAUACUAUUUAUCUUGAAUAUUGUGGAGGUUUGCGGAAUAUGUCAUGUAGCGGUGAAAUGCUUAGAUAUGACAUAGAACACCUAUUGCGAAGGCAGCAGGCUACACAUAUAUUGACGCUGAGGCACGAAAGCGUGGGGAUCAAACAGGAUUAGAUACCCCAGU
rnacentral:rRNA from 1 species